AACGAACGCUGGCGGCAGGCUUAACACAUGCAAGUCGAGCGCCCUCUAUUUUCAGCAAUGAGGAUGGCGGGAGCGGCAGACGGGUGAGUAACGCGUGGGAACAUACCCUUUGGUUCGGAAUAACUCAGGGAAACUUGAGCUAAUGCCGGAUACGCCCCGGGAUGAGAGUCUGGGGGGAAAGAUUCAUUGCCGGAGGAUUGGCCCGCGUUCGAUUAGCUUGUUGGUGGGGUAACGGCUCACCAAGGCGACGAUCGAUAGCUGGUCUGAGAG
rnacentral:rRNA from 1 species